UUAGGAAUCUUCCACAAUGGGCGAAAGCCUGAUGGAGCGACGCCGCGUGAGGGAUGAAGGUUUUCGGAUCGUAAACCUCUGAAUCUGGGACGAAAGACGCGCAAGCGGGAUGACGGUACCAGAGUAAUAGCACCGGCUAACUCCGUGCCAGCAGCCGCGGUAAUACGGAGGGUGCAAGCGUUACCCGGAAUCACUGGGCGUAAAGGGCGUGUAGGCGGGAACUUAAGUCUGGUUUUAAAGACUGGGGCUCAACCCCGGGGAUGGACUGGAUACUGGGUUUCUAGACCUCUGGAGAGAUACUCGGAAUUUCUGGUGUAGCGGUGGAAUGCGUAGAUACCAGAAGGAACACCGAUGGCGAAGGCAGAGUAUUGGACAGAAGGUGACGCUGAGGCGCGAAAGUGUGGGGAGCGAACCG
rnacentral:rRNA from 1 species